GAUAAACGCUGGCGGCGUGCCUAACACAUGCAAGUCGAACGCCCUGGAGCAAUUCAGGGAGUGGCGGACGGGUGAGGAACACGUGGGUGAUCUGCCUUGAGGUGAGGAAUACCGGCGAGAAAUCGCCGACAAUACCGCAUAGGUUCGUAAGAACAAAGUCGCAAGACGCCUUGAGAUGAGCCUGCGUCCGAUUAGCCAGUUGGUGGGUAAUGGCCUACCAAAGCAGCGAUCGGUAGCUGGUCUGAGAGGACGAUCAGCCACACUGGGA
rnacentral:rRNA from 1 species